rnacentral:rRNA from 1 species
AGCGAACGCUGGCGGCAGGCUUAACACAUGCAAGCCGAGCGGGCAUAGCAAUACGUCAGCGGCAGACGGGUGAGUAACGCGUGGGAACGUACCUUUUGGUUCGGAACAACUGAGGGAAACUUCAGCUAAUACCGGAUAAGCCCUUACGGGGAAAGAUUUAUCGCCGAAAGAUCGGCCCGCGUCUGAUUAGCUAGUUGGUGAGGUAAUGGCUCACCAAGGCGACGAUCAGUAGCUGGUCUGAGAGGAUGAUCAGCCACAUUGGGACUGAGACACGGCCCAAACUCCUACGGGAGGCAGCAGUGGGGAAUAUUGGACAAUGGGCGCAAGCCUGAUCCAGCCAUGCCGCGUGAGUGAUGAAGGCCCUAGGGUUGUAAAGCUCUUUUGUGCGGGAAGAUAAAGACGGUACCGCAAGAAUAAGCCCCGGCUAACUUCGUGCCAGCCGCCGCGGUAA